CCUACGGGUGGCAGCAGUGAGGAAUAUUGGUCAAUGGCCGCAGGGCUGAACCAGCCAAGUCGCGUGAGGGAUGACGGUCCUAUGGAUUGUAAACCUCUUUUGUCAGGGAGCAAAGGGCGCCACGUGUGGCGUUUUGCGAGUACCUGAAGAAAAAGCAUCGGCUAACUACGUGCCAGCAGCCGCGGUAAUACGUAGGGGGCAAGCGUUAUCCGGAUUUACUGGGUGUAAAGGGGGCGCAGACGGCAAUGCAAGCCAGGAGUGAAAGCCCGGGGCCCAACCCCGGGACUGCUCUUGGAACUGCAUGGCUGGAGUACAGGAGGGGCAGGCGGAAUUCCUAGUGUAGCGGUGAAAUGCGUAGAUAUUAGGAGGAACACCGGUGGCGAAGGCGGCCUGCUGGACUGUGACUGACGUUGAGGCCCGAAGGCGUGGGGAGCAAACAGGAUUAGAUACCCGAGUAGUC
rnacentral:rRNA from 1 species